rnacentral:rRNA from 1 species
AUACGGAAGGUCCGGGCGUUAUCCGGAUUUAUUGGGUUUAAAGGGAGCGCAGGCGGAGAUGCAAGCGUGACGUCAAAUUUCGGGGCUCAACCCCGUCUCGCGUCGCGAACUGCGUCCCUUGGUUGCGGGAAGGGGAGGCGGAACUCGAGGUGUAGCGGUGAAAUGCAUAGAUAUCACGAAGAACUCCGAUCGCGAAGGCAGCCUUCCGGCCCGUCAACGACGCUCAUGCUCGAAGGUGCGGGUAUCAAACAGGAUUAGAUACCCUGGUAGUCCGCACAGUAAACGAUGGACACCCGCGGUUUGGCCUGUAUCGCUGAGCCGCCAAGCGAAAGCGUUAAGUGUCCCACCUGGGGAGUACGCCGGCAACGGUGAAACUCAAAGGAAUUGGCGGGG